CCUACGGGUGGCAGCAGUGAGGAAUAUUGGUCAAUGGACGAGAGUCUGAACCAGCGAAGUAGCGUGAAGGAUUACUGCCCUUUGGGUUGUAAACUUCUUUUAUAAAGGAAUAAAACGAGGCACGUGUGCCUUUUUGCAUGUACUUUAUGAAUAAGGAUCGGCUAACUCCGUGCCUGCAGCCGCGGUAAUACGUAGUAUCCGAGCGUUAUCCGGAUUUAUUGGUCUUAAAGGGAGCGUAGAUGGGUUGUUAAGUCAGUUGUGAAAGUUUGCGGCUCAACCGUAAAAUUGCAAUUGAUACUGGCAGUCGUGAGUACAGUUGAGGUAGGCGGAAUUCGUGGUGUAGCAGUGAAAUGCUUAGAUAUCACGAAGAACCCCGAUUGCGAAGGCAGCUUACUAGACUGUGACUGACAUUGAUGCUCGAAAGUGUGGGUAUCAAACAGGAUUAGAUACCCUUGUAGUC
rnacentral:rRNA from 1 species